rnacentral:rRNA from 1 species
CCCUGCCAUUUGUACACACCGCCCGUCGCUCCUACCGAUUGAAUGUUCCGGUGAAAACUUCGGAGUCAUGGUUUGGCUUGGGGAGACUCAACCUGACCAAUUGGUGAAGUUGUUUAAGCCUUAACAUU